AUACAAUGCAUAAAAUUCAAAAGCUUAUAUUCUUUUAUACUUUAAACAUUCUAGCGUAUCGAAACUAUAUCACGAGCUUUGCGAAGUAAAUAACCAAGAUAGACGUCUCCGUUUUCAAGCCACGGAAGUAAGGCAGAGAUCGGCAGAGAUUUUGAAAGAUCAUCGCAGAUGAGAAGACAUGGGCAAAAUUAGCCGAG